rnacentral:rRNA from 1 species
CACCGGUGGCCCGAGUGGUGGCCACUAUUAUUGGGUCUAAAGGGUCCGUAGCCGGUUUGAUCAGUCUUCCGGGAAAUCUGACAGCUCAACUGUUAGGCUU